AUAAAUUUAUUAAAAAAAAAAAAAAAAAAAAAGAUUCUGGGGUCUUAUCAGUUUAAUAUCUGAUACGGCCCCCAUAGGGUGACCGUCUAUAUUAAAUUAAGAUUUUUGGAAGCAUGGAGAUGGAAGCGGGGCUUGCUCCGUCCACUCCACGGAUCGACCCGGUAUUGCAGUACCUCCGAUAGUUUUGCCAAAUAUA